rnacentral:lncRNA from 1 species
AUUUCAGAAGCAUCACAGAACAACUAAUAAGAUGGAAUGACGGGUGGGUGGUGCAAUAUAGAUCCACUGCUAAUGUGCUGCUUUUGUGUAAAUGGCAUACUGCAGAAUACAAUCUUUCUAGAGGUGCCCAAAGAUGCAGCAGUGCUCUCUUACAGAACUGUCCCCUGCACCAUCUGGCAUUGGCAAGAGUGGAACAUGAAUGCUGCAGUAGACGGAUGGCAGGUCCAAUCAAGGGUGCACAGUAGGAGCAUUCACCAGUGUUACGUCAUAUGAUAUGCAUGCUCUCUGCAUGCGUGUUCUGAAUUUGCAGCACGUCCCUUGACAUCUGGGGGAAAGAAUAGUUCUGUAAAAACUGAUCAAAUAGGUUCAUCACAAAAAGCUGCAUGUAAGCAAAAACAGCUUUGAAGUUGCUUUCCCCCCAGACUACUGAGUGGUUUUAAAAUAUGUUAUUUGUUUUUAUAGGUUCUUUAGCUUCGUUUUAAAAUCUAUUUUGUAAGGGAAACAGAAUGCUAGUAAAAAUGCGAAAAACAUCAGUAAAUUUCAUUCUACGGAAGUAGGUAAGAUAUGAUUACUUGUUUAAGAUAUUGUGUCCUAAUCCUGCUGGGGUGCCCUGAAGUGUAUGGAGGGCUAUGAGUCCUUUGCCUGAGUUAAAUGUAUAAAAUUGCACUACCCUUCAUUUAUUUCAGAGGUUGCUAAAAUGUGCUAAUGUUUCUGGAUUGCAACCAGUAUUGCUGCACAUGGUGGGACAGAGCUGAACUCCUGACAUCACCAUCACUGCUGUUUAUAUGGGUGGGGCAGGCUUCUGGGGUUGGGGGUCACAUGGUUGCACUAGCACCAGCACUGGAUUGGCGGGGGGGCGGGUCUCACUGGUGUAACUGUGUGGCCUCUGGCCUUGCCAGUGCCCCAUCGCAGCCCCAUCUAGGUAAGCUGCGCCAACAGUGCUGUCAGGAGGGCAACUUUGUCUGAUCACACACUGCUACGGAGUCUACAGUAGGGGUAGUCAACCUUUUUAUACCUACUGCCCACUAGUGCAUCUUUCCUGAUGGUAAAAUUUCCUUAUCGCCCACCAGUGCUUGAUGGAAGAAGGAUUCAACUUGUGCCGUAGAACCCCCUACCUAGAAUCCUGAAACGCCCACUAGUGGGCGAUAGGGACCAGGUUGACAGCCCCUGGUCCACAGGCUGAUGGGAUUUGGAGUGCCACAGCUUAGCAACCCGCUGAUUUUCUAACACAAUUUAAAGGCCCCCAGAGUGGCUUAAACAAGAUCUGCCUGCAAGUUUACAAUCUAAAAGCCAAAAUGGCACAAAAAAGGGGUGGUGGUGAAGGAUGAAGAGGGACUUUUCCGACAUGACUAAUUAUUGUUUUGCAAGUAAAAUAAUUGAUUAUAUUGUUACUGGCCACCCUAAUUUCUGCUGAGAAAUGCACAAGAUUCCAGGGGUCUUGACACUUAACCAGGGUUUUUGUUCCUUUGGAAUGCGGCAUUACUUUUUUUCUUUUUCUUUUUAAAAAAGGUUUAUUUACACAUAUUUACACCUGAGGUUUUUAUGUAUCUGAAGAAGUGUGCAUGCACACAAAAGCUCAUACCAAUAACAAACUUAGUUGGUCUCUAAGGUGCUACUGGAAGGAAUUUUUGUAUUUUGUUUCGAAUGAGGUUUUAAUGGCGUGCAGAGCAUUACACCCCAAGGGUGUCUCUUGUUGCUCCCCUCAUAGCUUCAGCAAGCUUGGGUCCACAGUGAAGGCCAGCCAUCUCAGCCUCUGUGUGCAGCCUCUCACAGUGAGCUCCACAUGGAGCUCUCCUCACUUCCUCCAAACCUGUUUUAAAAGGACACCUUUUUGCCUGUGGUGACAUCACACCUUCUGUUACCCUGGCAACCUCCCCCUCCCAGCUUACAUCAUGAAACACUGAAGUCCUAAAUCUCAUGGGAGGAGGGGCUCACACUCCUUUGCUGCUUGACACAAGGUAACUCUUUGCGUCAAUCACCCAUCACUUUGCACUACAUAUAUUUCUUCUUUCUAGUGAUUUCUGGCCAAGAAAAUGUGUUUUUAUGAAGCCUUCCAAGUGGGUUGGUCCUAUGAAGAUUAAUGGGUUGGGUAGGCCCCAUUAACCUAAUGCCCUGUGUGACCAUCAUCUUCCAGACAACCUGUUUUUUUAUAAUUCAUUCUGUUUCGUUUUGAACAAGAAUUUGCAGGAAGUUUAUACUGUGUAUUAAGCAUUUGUUCUGAUUUGUUUGUAUGUGGGUGGGUCAAGUUACACCACCUUUUCAAGUGCAAUCUUAUGUCCCUUUCCUUACCACAAAAAGCUUGAUAUUUGAAAGUGGCUUUGUUGCUCAAGAGUGAAAUCCAUUUUGACUGUGCAGCCUGAAUUUGCCAGUAUGUUAUUGAAUCUCACCCACAAAAUAGUGACUGCCUGGAUUUGGCUCAGUGCCAAUUUACUUGCCACGCUCACACAGAUGUAGGUAGCCUCACUUUUGAAACUUUAUAGAGCUUACAAGGGCUUUGAUGCAAUAUGAGAUGUGGUUGUUCUGCUGCAUUGUACUCAGCCUGGGGAAGUGUGUACUUCAUGAGUCCUGUGGAAUGACAGGUUAUGGACAUUAUGGACCUAUGGGUAGAUCUGUUCAUGCUUUUAUGAAAGCCUGAUUAAACUGGCUACUUAUAGUUUAUUUAUUUACUUGGCCAUGGGGCACCAAUCCAAAGCAUGUCUUAUGGCAGUUUUCUGCCCAAAAUUGCCUGCCCCACUUCUGGCUUCUGUCUGUCCCUAAAGGUGCUGUUUCUCAUCCAUGGAGUGUGACCCUCAACAUGACACAUGGACAUGAUACAGAAAGUUGUGUGUGUAUAAAAAGUAGAAAGAAAAGGUUAUGACAGCCCCACCAGCCUUUCUGGGCUUGAGGAUAUAUUUGGAACUCUAAAAAUACUGUUGUGAGCACCACAAAAUACCCAUUUCACAAAAGAAAAACUGGUGGUGCACAGAGGAACCCCACUGUAAGAGGGGAAAACAAUUCCACCCACCCGAAAACAAAUAAAACAGAGACAAAAAAGUUGGCAACAACCCACAAAAGCCAAUAAAGAAACAAACCUCAGGCAUCCCUCUCAUUAAACAACCCCUACCCAAGGUUAAGAAAAAACCUCAAUUAAAAACAAUUGAGGGCAGGGAGUUUUGGUGAAUGUCAAGGGGGUGUCUGAAGGUGCAGUGGUGCCCAUGGUCAUCAUGGGGGUGUGUGGAAUCCCAGAGAUAUUAUAUGUAGGGGGCAAUAGUAGGUCAAUGCCAUUUCUGUGCAGACUUAAAUGUAUAUAAGAGCAAACUGACCCAUUCUCAACAGGAGUUAUAUUUCUAGAUAUGCUAUAUUAAUUUAAUACACGUGAUGGAAAAGAGUUCUGAUCAAGUCCAAAAUUGAAUGGAAGAACAUUUGCUGAUUAAUGUUAGUUCUGUUGGAAUAAGUUUCCUUUCAAAGUCCUUUUGUUGAAGUAUUGUUACUUUGACUUUCAGCUGCUGAAGUAUCCUGGGAGACUGAAAUGUUCUCCCACGGGUGUUUGGAUGGUGCCAUUUUUCAUAUCAGAUUUAUGCCCAUUUAAUCUGAAGUGUCUUCUCCUAGGUAGACAGCAGACAGACACUGUUGACAGGUGGUAGCAUAGCACGCUGGGAGGAGAAUGAGCAGGUGGAAUAAAUCCUUGAAGCUACAACUGAUGUUAUUAGUAGUGCAAUAGUUGUUGCAGACAAGAGGAACAGGAAGACCUGCUAUUGCCAGUCUGAGGAAACUCAGGUUGCUACCUGUUUGUCGCCUAAGAAAUCGCUAUUAAAAAUCAAGAUAAAUACCUUAUGCAUGUACUGAGUUAAGCAAAUGCAGACAGUAUGAGGAAGAUUGCCUGUUGAAAAGGUUGAAUGUGAAUAGCAAAUGACGCAUUACUUGUAGCUUAUGAUCUAUGAUUAUUAUUUAUGUUUUAAACUAGAUUAACAUAACUGGUGAAUGAAACUGAUUUUGAUUUGUUUGUUGUAACCAGAAUGUAAUUCACUUUUGCGUGAUGCAGCAGUUGAGGUAGCACAGUGGCUAAAGCUCCAUUCCUAAGUCUGAGAGUAUAAACCCCACUAAAAUCAGUACUUACUUCUGAGUAAAGAUAUUUAGAAAUGCAAUGUAUGGUUUCAAUUAUAAACAUACUAGGGAGUAAGCAUUAUUGAAUGUGUUCGAACUUGCUUCUGAACAAAUAUGCAUGGGACUACAAUGUAAGUCUGCGAUCCUGUGCACACUUAUUUUGGAGGAAACCCCAUUGAACUCACAUGAGAAUGGCUGUAGCUCCUUUGUAAAACACAUGGUUUGCAUGCAGAAGGGCAUCUCCAGGCAGGACUGGGAAAGACCCUGCCUGAAACCUGGAGAGUCGCUGCCAGUCAGUAUAGGCCCGGUGUGAGGAGACUGUAUGCGGUUAAAAGCCAGCUCCCGCAGCCUGAAGCAAGAUGACCAUAGUCGCCUUUGACUGGACCUAACUGUCCAGGGGUCGCUUACCUUUUAGAUAUAUAUAUAAAUACACACACACACACACACACACACACACAUUACUGUUCACCUUUUUAUGUGCACAGCUUCUUCGAACUAGAAUCUAUUGCACCAUAUAUUUAAUGCACAUUACCAGUGCCAGAUUUACGUAUAAGCUAAACAAGCAAUAGCUUAGGGCCCCACUCUCUUGCCCCCCCAAUUUUUUUUUGAACGAACAAAAAACAAACAAACUGGAUUUACAUUUCC